rnacentral:rRNA from 1 species
CUAAUACAUGCAAGUCGUACGCUUCUUUUUCCACCGGAGCUUGCUCCACCGGAAAAAGAAGAGUGGCGAACGGGUGAGUAACACGUGGGUAACCUGCCCAUCAGAAGGGGAUAACACUUGGAAACAGGUGCUAAUACCGUAUAACAAUCGAAACCGCAUGGUUUUGAUUUGAAAGGCGCUUUCGGGUGUCGCUGAUGGAUGGACCCGCGGUGCAUUAGCUAGUUGGUGAGGUAACGGCUCACCAAGGCCACGAUGCAUAGCCGACCUGAGAGGGUGAUCGGCCACAUUGGGACUGAGACACGGCCCAAACUCCUACGGGAGGCAGCAGUAGGGAAUCUUCGGCAAUGGACGAAAGUCUGACCGAGCAACGCCGCGUGAGUGAAGAAGGUUUUCGGAUCGUAAAACUCUGUUGUUAGAGAAGAACAAGGAUGAGAGUAACUGUUCAUCCCUUGACGGUAUCUAACCAGAAAGCCACGGCUAACUACGUGCCAGCAGCCGCGGUAAUACGUAGGUGGCAAGCGUUGUCCGGAUUUAUUGGGCGUAAAGCGAGCGCAGGCGGUUUCUUAAGUCUGAUGUGAAAGCCCCCGGCUCAACCGGGGAGGGUCAUUGGAAACUGGGAGACUUGAGUGCAGAAGAGGAGAGUGGAAUUCCAUGUGUAGCGGUGAAAUGCGUAGAUAUAUGGAGGAACACCAGUGGCGAAGGCGGCUCUCUGGUCUGUAACUGACGCUGAGGCUCGAAAGCGUGGGGAGCAAACAGGAUUAGAUACCCUGGUAGUCCACGCCGUAAACGAUGAGUGCUAAGUGUUGGAGGGUUUCCGCCCUUCAGUGCUGCAGCUAACGCAUUAAGCACUCCGCCUGGGGAGUACGACCGCAAGGUUGAAACUCAAAGGAAUUGACGGGGGCCCGCACAAGCGGUGGAGCAUGUGGUUUAAUUCGAAGCAACGCGAAGAACCUUACCAGGUCUUGACAUCCUUUGACCACUCUAGAGAUAGAGCUUCCCCUUCGGGGGCAAAGUGACAGGUGGUGCAUGGUUGUCGUCAGCUCGUGUCGUGAGAUGUUGGGUUAAGUCCCGCAACGAGCGCAACCCUUAUUGUUAGUUGCCAUCAUUUAGUUGGGCACUCUAGCAAGACUGCCGGUGACAAACCGGAGGAAGGUGGGGAUGACGUCAAAUCAUCAUGCCCCUUAUGACCUGGGCUACACACGUGCUACAAUGGGAAGUACAACGAGUCGCGAAGUCGCGAGGCUAAGCUAAUCUCUUAAAGCUUCUCUCAGUUCGGAUUGUAGGCUGCAACUCGCCUACAUGAAGCCGGAAUCGCUAGUAAUCGCGGAUCAGCACGCCGCGGUGAAUACGUUCCCGGGCCUUGUACACACCGCCCGUCACACCACGAGAGUUUGUAACACCCGAAGUCGGUGAGGUA